rnacentral:rRNA from 1 species
AGCCAUGCGAGUCAUUGUAGUAAUACAAGGCAGACGGCUCAGUAACGCGUAGUCAACCUAACCUAUGGACGGGAAUAACCUCGGGAAACUGAGUAUAAUGCCCGAUAGAACAUUAUGCCUGGAAUGGUUUAUGUUCCAAAUGAUUUAUCGCCGUAGGAUGGGACUGCGGCCUAUCAGUUUGUUGGUGAGGUAAUGGCCCACCAAGACUAUUACAGGUACGGGCUCUGAGAGGAGUAGCCCGGAGAUGGGUACUGAGACACGGACCCAGGCCCUAUGGGGCGCAGCAGGCGAGAAAACUUUGCAAAUGGUUGGCCGGAAAAAGGCCAACGGAACAAAGGGUUUAAAUCCCGAGUGGUUUCUGCUAAAGGAACCUUUUGUCGGUCCUAGAAACACCGAUGAAUAAGGGGUGGGCAAGUUCUGGUGUCAGCCGCCGCGUAAACCAGCACCUCAAGUGGUCAGGAUGAUUAUUGGCCUAAAGCAUCCGUAGCCGGCUUGGUAGUUUCGGUUAAAUCUGUACGCUCACGUACAGGCUGCGGGAAUACUGCAGAGCUAGGAGUGGAGAGUAACGGUACUCGGUAGAGGGUAAAUCUUUGACUAUUAUGACACUGUGCGAGCGUCUACGAACCGUCCACGUGAG